GACGAACGCUGGCGGCGUGCUUACCAUGCAGUCGAACGGAAGGCCUCAGCUUGCUGGGGUACUCGAGUGGCGAACGGGUGAGUAACACGUGGGUGAUCUGCCUCGUACUUCGGGAUAAGCUUGGGAAACUGGGUCUAAUACCGGAUAUAACCUUCCUUUAGUGUGGUGGGUGGAAAGUUUUUCGGUACGAGAUGAGCCCGCGGCCUAUCAGCUUGUUGGUGGGGUAAUGGCCUACCAAGGCGUCGACGGGUAGCCGGCCUGAGAGGGUGGACGGCCACAUUGGGACUGAGAUACGGCCCAGACUCCUACGGGAGGCAGCAGUGGGGAAUAUUGCACAAUGGGCGCAAGCCUGAUGCAGCGACGCCGCGUGGGGGAUGACGGCCUUCGGGUUGUAAACCUCUUUCGCUAGGGACGAAGCUGCCCUUUGUGGGGUGGUGACGGUACCUGGAUAAGAAGCACCGGCUAACUACGUGCCAGCAGCCGCGGUAAUACGUAGGGUGCGAGCGUUGUCCGGAAUUACUGGGCGUAAAGAGCUCGUAGGUGGUUUGUCGCGUCGUCUGUGAAAUUCCGGGGCUUAACUCCGGGCGUGCAGGCGAUACGGGCAAUACUUGAGUGCUGUAGGGGAGACUGGAAUUCCUGGUGUAGCGGUGAAAUGCGCAGAUAUCAGGAGGAACACCAAUGGCGAAGGCAGGUCUCUGGGCAGUAACUGACGCUGAGGAGCGAAAGCAUGGGUAGCGAACAGGAUUAGAUACCCUGGUAGUCCAUGCCGUAAACGGUGGGCGCUAGGUGUAGGGGUCUUCCACGACUUCUGUGCCGUAGCUAACGCAUUAAGCGCCCCGCCUGGGGAGUACGGCCGCAAGGCUAAAACUCAAAGGAAUUGACGGGGGCCCGCACAAGCGGCGGAGCAUGUGGAUUAAUUCGAUGCAACGCGAAGAACCUUACCUGGGCUUGACAUAUACGGGAUCGCCGCAGAGAUGUGGUUUCCCUUGUGGCUCGUAUACAGGUGGUGCAUGGUUGUCGUCAGCUCGUGUCGUGAGAUGUUGGGUUAAGUCCCGCAACGAGCGCAACCCUUGUCUUAUGUUGCCAGCACGUUAUGGUGGGGACUCAUGAGAGACUGCCGGGGUCAACUCGGAGGAAGGUGGGGAUGACGUCAAAUCAUCAUGCCCCUUAUGUCCAGGGCUUCACACAUGCUACAAUGGUCGGUACAACGCGUUGCCAGCCCGUGAGGGUGCGCUAAUCGCUGAAAGCCGGCCUCAGUUCGGAUUGGGGUCUGCAACUCGACCCCAUGAAGUCGGAGUCGCUAGUAAUCGCAGAUCAGCAACGCUGCGGUGAAUACGUUCCCGGGCCUUGUACACACCGCCCGUCACGUCAUGAAAGUUGGUAACACCCGAAGCCAGUGGCCCAACCUGUUUACAGGGGGGAGCUGUCGAAGGUGGGAUCGGCGAUUGGGACG
rnacentral:rRNA from 1 species